rnacentral:rRNA from 1 species
UUGAACGCUGGCGGCAGGCCUAACACAUGCAAGUCGAACGGUAACAGGAAGAAGCUUGCUUCUUUGCUGACGAGUGGCGGACGGGUGAGUAAUGUCUGGGAAACUGCCUGAUGGAGGGGGAUAACUACUGGAAACGGUAGCUAAUACCGCAUAACGUCGCAAGACCAAAGAGGGGGACCUUCGGGCCUCUUGCCAUCGGAUGUGCCCAGAUGGGAUUAGCUAGUAGGUGGGGUAACGGCUCACCUAGGCGACGAUCCCUAGCUGGUCUGAGAGGAUGACCAGCCACACUGGAACUGAGACACGGUCCAGACUCCUACGGGAGGCAGCAGUGGGGAAUAUUGCACAAUGGGCGCAAGCCUGAUGCAGCCAUGCCGCGUGUAUGAAGAAGGCCUUCGGGUUGUAAAGUACUUUCAGCGGGGAGGAAGGGAGUAAAGUUAAUACCUUUGCUCAUUGACGUUACCCGCAGAAGAAGCACCGGCUAACUCCGUGCCAGCAGCCGCGGUAAUACGGAGGGUGCAAGCGUUAAUCGGAAUUACUGGGCGUAAAGCGCACGCAGGCGGUUUGUUAAGUCAGAUGUGAAAUCCCCGGGCUCAACCUGGGAACUGCAUCUGAUACUGGCAAGCUUGAGUCUCGUAGAGGGGGGUAGAAUUCCAGGUGUAGCGGUGAAAUGCGUAGAGAUCUGGAGGAAUACCGGUGGCGAAGGCGGCCCCCUGGACGAAGACUGACGCUCAGGUGCGAAAGCGUGGGGAGCAAACAGGAUUAGAUACCCUGGUAGUCCACGCCGUAAACGAUGUCGACUUGGAGGUUGUGCCCUUGAGGCGUGGCUUCCGGAGCUAACGCGUUAAGUCGACCGCCUGGGGAGUACGGCCGCAAGGUUAAAACUCAAAUGAAUUGACGGGGGCCCGCACAAGCGGUGGAGCAUGUGGUUUAAUUCGAUGCAACGCGAAGAACCUUACCUGGUCUUGACAUCCACGGAAGUUUUCAGAGAUGAGAAUGUGCCUUCGGGAACCGUGAGACAGGUGCUGCAUGGCUGUCGUCAGCUCGUGUUGUGAAAUGUUGGGUUAAGUCCCGCAACGAGCGCAACCCUUAUCCUUUGUUGCCAGCGGUCCGGCCGGGAACUCAAAGGAGACUGCCAGUGAUAAACUGGAGGAAGGUGGGGAUGACGUCAAGGCAUCAUGGCCCUUACGACCAGGGCUACACACGUGCUACAAUGGCGCAUACAAAGAGAAGCGACCUCGCGAGAGCAAGCGGACCUCAUAAAGUGCGUCGUAGUCCGGAUUGGAGUCUGCAACUCGACUCCAUGAAGUCGGAAUCGCUAGUAAUCGUGGAUCAGAAUGCCACGGUGAAUACGUUCCCGGGCCUUGUACACACCGCCCGUCACACCAUGGGAGUGGGUUGCAAAAGAAGUAGGUAGCUUAACCUUCGGGAGGGCGCUUACCACUUUGUGAUUCAUGACUGGGGUG